CGCAGCCGCGGUAAUUCCAGCUCCAAUAGCGUAUAUUAAAGUUGUUGCAGUUAAAAAGCUCGUAGUUGAAUUUCGGGAUUAGUACGCUGGUCAUGCCUUUGGUAUGUACUGGUGUUACUGGUUCCUACCUUCUGAAGAACCGUCAUAUCAUUAAUUUGGUGUGGCGGGGAAUCAGGACUGUUACUUUGAAAAAAUUAGAGUGUUUAAAGCAGGCUCGCGCUUGAAUACAUUAGCAUGGAAUAAUGGAAUAGGACGUUUGACCCUAUUUUGUUGGUUUCUAGGAUCGACGUAAUGAUUAAUAGGGAUAGUUGGGGGCAUUAGUAUUCAAUUGUCAGAGGUGAAAUUCUUGGAUUUAUUGAAGACUAACUACUGCGAAAGCAUUUGCCAAGGAUGUUUUCAUUAAUCAAGAACGAAAGUUAGGGGAUCGAAGACGAUCAGAUACCGUCGUAGUCUUAACCAUAAACUAUGCCGACUAGGGAUCGGAUGAUGUUAUUUUUAAUGACUCAUUCGGCGCCUUACG
rnacentral:rRNA from 1 species